GGAGAGAUGCAAGAGUGGCUGAAUUGGCACGCCUGGAAAGCGUGUGUACCCCUAAAGGGUACCGCGGGUUCGAAUCCCGCUCUCUCCG
rnacentral:tRNA from 1 species